GCAAAGUGUAGUCUAUGCAUACAAUGGAAUAUUACACAGCCUUAAAAAGGAAGGAGAUUCUGACACGUGCUCCAAAUACAAUUUUAUGUCACGUGUAGUUUACCAAAAAAAUUCAGGCCACAGGCAAAUCUAUGUCCUUACAAAGACCCCCUGUGAACACGUCAGCAAGGAAGUGACAGGUGCUGGGUCUCAGCUGCGUGGUCAUCACCCCCACCCUGGAACCCUGGGCUGCUCCAGACACAGCUGCAUCACCGCCUCGCAGGGCAGAUGCGGCUGCACACAAGAAUCACCAGAGGAGACCUGAAAAAUCCCGACGCCCAGGCCGCAUCUCCGACAAUUAAAACGGAACCGCGAGGGGAGGGACCCGGGCAUCGGCAUUUUUGAAGCUUCCCAAGUGAUUCCAGUGUACUGGCAAGGUUGACAAGCAGUGGACCCAAGGAGGAGCCCAGCAGGGAGGGGAUGGGGGGCCCCACCUGGACAGGUGCCACACAUCAGGGAUGCCACGGGACCCCAGGACCACCAAACGUACGCCGGGCUCAGCCAGGGCUCACGUGCCGACUUUGACGGGCUGGCACAGGCUGCCUGCAGUGCUGUGUUGCAAAGAAGAGUGACUCUAGGUGUGGCAGGAGAGGGAUGCUGUGACUGUGGGCAUGGGGCAGGCAGGAGGCAGCCCUCCCUGGUGGGAGAGUUACCCGAAAGCCUUCACGACCCUCCUUCUCUCUGGACCUCACGAUGCCAUCAACUGAGCAGGGCCCAGAUCGUGGUUGUCAUUUCACACAAGGAUUCAGAGAAGGGAAGCCCCAGUUAGCAGCGGUGUGGCUAAGACUGGAAGCCAGACCUUCUGACUCCAGGUUCACACCUCCCACCACACCCAUGGCCCCCUCCAGCCCUGUCCGUGGUCCUGAUGGGAAGGGUUCUGCCGUCAGUCUCUUACGUGAUAGUAUAAUGGAUCCGACCAUCCUCUGCAGGAUGGAGGACUGGCUGUGGAUCUGGAGGCAAAGGAAGGGCAGGGCUGGAGCCCUUUCCCAGCUCCUCAAAUCCCCACCUCAUCGGCCAGUGGUCAGAGCACCCCGGCCACAAGUUACCCACGAUCCCCAGUCCCCCUGAGCCCUGGCUCUGUCAGUCCCUCCCACCUUGGAAAGUCCACACCAAGACUCCCAGGUCUGUGGGCCAAGGCAGAGCAUGAGUGCCUGUGCCAAGGACAAGAACAAAAACGCCAGGCAGCUUCUGCAUGGGCUAGAAGACCCUGUCUUCCAGGGGGAUCUACUUACUUGUGUCCUAUCGCUAACUCAGUCCCUACAAUCCUCCUCACCCCAGGAAAGCUCUCUCCAAGGCCCAGAGUCAUGAUGCCCCUGGGCCUUCCACACAUUGUUUCUUCUGCUUGAAAAUCCCUUUCUCUCUUCUCUCAAACUGGCAAACUCCUAUUCAGCCUUCAGAACCCAUGGCAAAAGUCCCCUCUCCUGAAAAGCCCUUCCUUGAUCGCUACCCUCACACUCCCAUCCAGACUGGGUCAUAAACUGCCUUCUCUCCCCUCUAGGCCACCGCACAAGUCAUUUGCUUGGACUCUCCUUCCCUCUUUCUCUUCCUGGAGCACUCCUGGGCAGAGAGACGGACUCUUUCCUCUGGACUCCCACAACUGCCCGUGCAACCCCUAUCAUAGCACAUACAAUAUGUAUUUGGGAGUUUCUGGGUCUGCUUCCACGCCUAGACUGCAAACCAGGGGACUGGCCCUGAUUCAUCUUCACCUUCCUGGUACCAGUGAUACCAGCCUACAGCAAGGUUGACAUGAGGGAAGCCGUGUCGUAACUUAGAAUAACCUCUGACCAACCCGCCCACAUAGUGCAUGUUUUAACUUGCACGUAGCCUAAGUGACUUUUAUAACCACCCUCUGGGAAAUACGCACGUUCUGUAGGUACCUCCCUGUAGAGAUAAAUAUUAGCUCUGUUCUUUUGACUUUCUCAGGAAUACGCCGACCUCCUCGAAGAAACACAUCUAUGCUGACAUCCAUCACCAAUGACACCUGAAAGGCCUGGGGUGGGGCCUCCAGUCCCUGACGCCAGAUGGUCAACAAUCCCAACCCCUUCCUUUAUAGCCCGCUGGCCCUACAUAACUGCUUAAACCUUGUGCUUGAGUAAGAUGGUCUUCGGGACAUGACUCCACCAUCUUCCGAUUUCGCUGGCUAAUGGAAUAAACCCCUUUCUCCACCACCAACUCGUCUUGCAAUUGAUUUGGCUUCAGGGUUGGGGCGAGCAGAACGAGCCCUCGCUCAGUUACACCGAUGCAGAGCCGUGCACCCAACAGGUAAGGCCCGGCCAAUAACGGAACACUCGAUCCUCGGAGCACUGCUUAAGUCGUUCAGACUCAAGAUAACAAGUUAGGCACAGUUAGAAUUUUUGGAACGGACAGACUCCUGAGACAUGGGUUAAUCCGGCCAGAACAAGCGGCUUGCCCAAGGCCACACCAUCCUAGGGGUGGGGCCAGUUUGCCGACUGGGACAAGCAGAAGGAAUGAAAAGAAGCACCAGAGGAGAGACGGGGAGAGAAGGGCAGGAAAUAGUAUUUUUUUCUUUCUAUUUCUGUGUUGUUUGACUGGCUACCAUGUCCAUUUACUCCUUUAGGAAUCUUUUAAAAAAAAAUAAUAAAACGAAAACGUUUUAAAUAUGGAAAUCAAUGUUGGAGACCAGACGUUCUCGAACCGGCCACAUCCUAGUUGGGAGCAGGGAGCGGCCAGUGCCAAAGAGAGUCCUGGAAACCACCCAAAUGCCCAUCCGGGGCAGAAUGGAAAUAAACGGGGGAUAUUCACACAACGGGACACCAGACGGCGAUGAGAAUGAGCAAACGACUGCUUGCAGAAAGACGGACGCAUCUCAGAUACGACGCCGAAUGGCAGUAUCCACUCCUGGAUCCUAUAUAUAUAAACUUCAAGAACUGGCACCAGGGGCGUUUGAGGAUAAAAGCCAGGGUGGUGGCCACCCUUGGCAGUGACUGGAGGGGGCAUGAAGGGGUUUCCGGCAACCAACAGCGUCGAGCAUCUUGAUCCGGGUGCUGGUUCCACAGGUUGCUCACCUGGAGUCGUGAUAGGGAGGCACGCUUUCCCGUACGUUACACUCCACUGAAGGGUUUAAAGAUGGACAGGCUGCUGCUGGGCUAGAUCUGAAGAAGGAGCACUUUCGAAACCACCGCCCUGGGGUCUCUACAGGCAGCCGGGGGCAGCAUUUCUGCCCCAGGGCAGGGCUUAAGCUUGCUGACCUGCCUGUCCCUCCCUGACCCCAUCACCUGGGCCCCAUCCCUGCUGGUCUCCCCUCCUGCGUCCUCCCCAGGCCCAGCCUCAGAGCUGCAAUUUCCCCCUCUCCUUCUGGCCCCGGGCCUGCCUGGGGUCCGUCAUAGCCCCUGGAGAAAAGCCGGCCUCCCUCCCAAAUGAGCCCGGGCCCAGGAGAACGGCUGUGGCCGCCCCCUCCAGGCUGGGCCCGUGCCUGGUGGCGGUGGCCUGAAUCCCCAGCGCUGAGGACUAAAGAGAUUUGUCCAGGAGACAAAGGGGGUCUGUCCGUCUGUCCCACAGAGGCUCCAAGCUGGCCCCGGGCCCUCAGAGCCUCUCCCCUUCUCCAGCUCAGCCCCGGCUACUCUUUGUGUCCAUUCAUGAAUUCAUGGCUCCUCCUGCAUGGCAGACAGCAUCUUGGCUCAGCCUUUGGGAAACAGAGUGGGGAAAAAACAGUCCUUGGGCUGGCGCCACGUCGGAAUGGAAUGGCUGCGAGAUCAAAAUCCCCGGGGGGAGAGAGCCGGGGACAGGAAGGGGAAACUGAGGGAGGGGUGGGAGGGGCCGAGGCUGGACCGGGUGCUAGGUGCAAGGAAAUCCCACAUGGUCUGUAGGAGAACACAGGUCUCAGCCAGGCUGCACAUGGCAUUCCACAUGAACGGCGCCCCCUGGAGGUGUGCAGCUGAUGGUACUGACCCCGAGGACCUGGGUCAGACCACAGCCCUGCACCCUCCCCAUGCCUCCCUGGGGAAUCUCUUCUCCUCUGGGACAAUGAGAGUCCACAUCUCUAAAGCAGGGCCACCCCCUCCUCCCGGCCUCACAGGAAGCUCCCGCAAGAUAACAGUGAGAUGCUGCCAUGGAAACCCAGACUCCUGAACCAGUAACCCCUGGGGUGAGGCCCCCACCUCUGCAAUUUUUAUAACAAGGGGCAGAUGCAAGCCCGAAUGGUCGGCCCACUGCCCUCGAUGCUGUGGGUGCCCAGCUGCUCCUCGGCAUUUGGACCCCGCAGCCGCACGCCCCAGGCCUGAGCGCUCUAGCUGCAGAAGCAAGGUGGGGCCUUUGCCCUGCGGCUGCAAGCGCCCGAGAGUUAGUGCCGGAGGAUGCAGCCUCGACAGCGACUCACGGGGAGCUGAGGAAGACUCCAGCCCACCCCAGCCCUCUGCCCUCGGUGGGAAGAAUUCCGAGCCAUCUUCCAAGCAGAAUUAGGCUCCGGGUGCCCACGGUGCCAACUUGCUUCUUCAUAAACCCUUCAGGGGGGCUGCGUGCCCCUCCCUGUUCUCACUCCCCCAUUCUCCCAUUGAUGAACCUUGGGGUCACCUCCCAAACACGCUGCUUGCCCUUGAAUCCUAGUCUCGGGGUCUGCUUCUGGGGAAACCCAAACUAAGGCAGAUUCUCAGGAGCCAAGAGCAGGAUCUGUUGAUAUGGGGCAAGCAGGCAAUAUUGCUUCUGAAUUACUCCAGUCCCACGUGAGGAUGCUGCCGACUCCAGGGGCUUGUUGGCACGGCACUUCACAGUUGGAAGCUCCUUCACUCCCCCUGGCUCCACGGGCGGGGCCGGGGUGCGGUAGCCAGCCGAGGGUGGGACCCACAUUUGUUUUCUUCCCAAUGCCUCUGGAAGGGACAGGCCACGGCCCCGCCUGCCCUCGCUCUCCUAACACAGCGCCCUGUGGCCUCCCUGCCAUGUCUCAGUCCCCACGUUUCUCCUCUCCCUGAGGACACGAUGGGGUUACCAUCCAGAACAUUUCCCGUGAGCUCACAGAACCACCACCAUCCUCCUCACAGCGAAGGCACCGGAACACACCUUCUAAGAGUAACGUGGAUCCACCCACUGGGUGCGCUGUGUGCAGAGAGGUUCAGGAGUGAGAGUCUUCAUCAGAGAGGAUCCUGGAAACCACACAACUACAGCCGCUAAGGAAGUCAUUGAUUCAGACAACGAUAACCAACGAAGCAAGGACCAUCGGCAAGAGGUUGCUAAGCAACGGCAUCUUCAACCCGAGGAGCUGAGCUCCCCAAGAUUACCCCGGAGGCCCCAAGAUCGAUCUCAGCAUCACCAGAAACGGGACAGUCAGGCGUCUGGUGCCUCCUGGAGAGACACAAUGCGAAGCUUCUUGCCUUUCUUCCCAAGGACGUCGUCGAUCCCAAAUCGAAUCGAGGCUCUACAGCUGUGCUAGCUCAGGGGGCAGCCGCUGGCCACAUUCGGCUGAGCCAAUGUAAAUCCACUAAUACUUAAUAAAAUUUGCAGCCCAGUUCCUCAGUGGCACCAGCCACAUCUCAAGUGCUCGGGGUCAGGAACGGUUGCCAACGCCGUCAGGUGUGAUAGGGAGCUUGCGGUUAUGGAAGACUGCUGAGAGAUGGGGACUGAAUGAUAUCAUCCAAAAUUUGCCUUCAAAGACUUCCCCAGAGAAAAAGCAAGGAGGCGAAGCGAGUACUUACGGCAAAACGUUCGUAACUGUCAAAUUUAGGCUAUAAGUGUCAGGGGUUCAUUAUAUCGUCCUCUCUACUUUUUGAAUGCAAGUUCAUAGGAUGGAAUGGAAUAUUUACAUAAUCUUGAAAUACCCCCUCCCUGUGCCCCCCCCCAAAUGCUAUUAAUUACCAAACGAAACAGUCAGGUUAUGGAGAGAAACUUGCCAACCAAGGGAUCAAGGUUAACGUCACACUGAAAGGACAGACCGAAGCUAUGAACCCCGGGUUGGGAGGCACUGAGAAGGACCAGCAUCACUUCUGCCAAAAACGCAGAGCCUCAGUCUGAUCAGGAGAACAGGUCAAGGACCCCAAAUGGAGCCAGAGUCCACAGAACCCCCGGGCUGGAUGCUGCAGACGCAAAGGUCUCCAAGACAGAGGAAGGCUAGAGGUGAGUUCUGGGUGAGAGGAAGCUACCCAGACGACGCGAUCAGGAUCCCAAACCAGAUCCGGGAUCGGAGGGAACCACGGGAAAGCGGGAACUGGGACAGCAAUGGGGCGAUGGGUAGAAUCUACAUGUGGACGCUAUCGAACAACAUUGUGUCAAUGCUAAACUUUUUUUUUCUGUUUCUUCUCACAUUUAAUAAAUGACCUGCAUAUGUUACCAUUUUCA